CCUACGGGUGGCAGCAGUGAGGAAUAUUGGUCAAUGGACGAGAGUCUGAACCAGCCAAGUAGCGUGAAGGAUGACUGCCCUAUGGGUUGUAAACUUCUUUUAUAUGGGAAUAAAAUGUUCCACGUGUGGGAUUUUGUAUGUACCAUAUGAAUAAGGAUCGGCUAACUCCGUGCCAGCAGCCGCGGUAAUACGGAGGAUCCGAGCGUUAUCCGGAUUUAUUGGGGUUAAAGGGAGCGUAGGUGGAUUGUUAAGUCAGUUGUGAAAGUUUGCGGCUCAACCGUAAAAUUGCAGUUGAAACUGACAGUCGUGAGUACAGUAGAGGUGGGCGGAAUUCGUGGUGUAGCGGUGAAAUGCUUAGAUAUCACGAAGAACUCCGAUUGCGAAGGCAGCUCACUGGACUGCAACUGACACUGAGGCUCGAAAGUGUGGGUAUCAAACAGGAUUAGAUACCCUAGUAGUC
rnacentral:rRNA from 1 species